CAUACAACUGAUUGUAGACUUUACUCUACGGAUUAAUUAUGUGUAGAAACAAUAAUCUGAUAACACAUUUCGCAUUAGUAUAAAUACAAGGAGUAGCUGCCGUAAUAUCAUAACACAAUCAAGUGAUACUAACAAGUCUACUUGUGCCCGAGUAAAAUUUACUCCAAAUAAUAAUUAUUUCAUUUUGAAUAAUAUCUUCAAACUAUCAAUCAAAAAUGCAGCGCAACCCAGCUUUCCCCUCCGCCAUGAGCUCCGGCUACAAGAGCUUCUCGCCCAGCCCCUGCUUCGGGCCCCCCAGAAACCAGUACAGCGCUGGAAGCUACGCGCAGCCGACACAACCCUUCCAGCCCAACAACUGCUUCAUGACUGCAUCAGUGAUCCGGAAAAUGAGCAACACCACGCCCCCCAGUGGUUUCGGCAGAAAUUACUAAGUCUGCGGCAUAUUGCACAUAUUUUACCUGGAAUCUCACAUUAGUUAUUUAUUUAAUAAGUUAAAUUAUGUUUAUUGUACGUGAAUAUCAGAAUUUGUAUUGUUUACAGUUUCAUUCAUUGUAUUUCUUGUAAAUAUUUUAUAUAAAUAAAUUAAGUUAUUGAAGAAAAUA